UGGCGGACGGGUGAGUAAUGUCUGGGAAACUGCCUGAUGGAGGGGGAUAACUACUGGAAACGGUAGCUAAUACCGCAUAACGUCGCAAGACCAAAGAGGGGGACCCUCGGGCCUCUUGCCAUCGGACGUGCCCAGAUGGGAUUAGCUAGUAGGUGGGGUAACGGCUCACCUAGGCGACGAUCCCUAGCUGGUCUGAGAGGAUGACCAGCCACACUGGAACUGAGACACGGUCCAGACUCCUACGGGAGGCAGCAUG
rnacentral:rRNA from 1 species